GCCCAAGUGGUGGAAUUGGUAGACACGCUACUUUGAGGGGGUAGUUCGUAACUGAGUGCGAGUUCGAGUCUCGCCUUGGGCACCA
rnacentral:tRNA from 1 species